rnacentral:misc_RNA from 1 species
UUUCCGUAGGUGAACCUGCGGAAGGAUCAUUAACAUUUUUUUUUCUUUUUUGAAAAAAUUAAAAAAAAAAAAAAAACCAACUUGUAAACUUUGAAAAAAAAAUUUUUUUUUUUAUUUCAAAAACUCCCAAAAAAAUUAAAAUUAAAAAAAAAACAAACAAAAAAAAAACAAAACUUUCAGCAACGGAUGUCUUGGCUCUC